GUUAGGAAUAUUGGACAAUGGGCGAAAGCCUGAUCCAGCCAUGCCGCGUGAACGAUGAAGGCCUUCGGGUUGUAAAGUUCUUUAGCCGAUGAUUAUAAUGACUGUAGUCGGAAAAUAAGCCCCGGCUAACUUCGUGCCAGCAGCCGCGGUAAUACGAAGGGGGCGAGCGUUAUUCGGAAUCACUGGGCGUAAAACGUGCGUAGGCGGUUUUGUAAGUUAGGAGUGAAAGCCCAGGGCUCAACCUUGGAAUUGCUCUUAAAACUGCAAGGCUCGAAUCUCGGAGAGGAUAGCGGAAUUUCCAGUGUAGCAGUGAAAUGCGUAGAUAUUGGAAGGAACACCAGUGGCGUAAGCGGCUAUCUGGACGAGUAUUGACGCUGAGGCACGAAAGCGUGGGGAUCAAACAGGAUUAGAAACCCCAGUAGUCC
rnacentral:rRNA from 1 species